UACGUAGGCAGCGAGCGUUGUUCGGAAUUACUGGGCGUAAAGAGUGUGUAGGCGGUGUUCCAAGUCUGGUGUGAAAUCUCCCGCUUAACUGGGAGGGUGCGCCGGAAACUGGAAUGCUCGAGGGUGGGAGAGGUAAGCGGAAUUCCUGGUGUAGCGGUGAAAUGCGUAGAUAUCGAGAGGAACACCUGCGGCGAAGGCGGGUUGCUGGGCCGACACUGACGCUGAUGCGCGAAAGCCAGGGGAGCGAACGGG
rnacentral:rRNA from 1 species